CCAGCGGGCUACAGUCCAUGGGGUCGCAAGAGUCGGACACAUCUGAGUGACUAAACAACACUGCACUGGGCACCAUUCUAGGUGGUAGGACGGAGCUGUUAAUUAGAGGAGGCUUAGCCACCAGGGAGCUGACAUUCUAGGAUGUUGUUGGAGACAGUGGCCAAGCAAACCAGCAGAUGAAGAGGCGAAACCUAUAGGGAUAUGUGGGGACAGUGGAAGCCAGGUGUGGUGGUAGAGGCUGACUGGGGGCUCCCUUUGGCCAGGAUGGUCAGGGAAGGACUCUCUAAACUGAUGGUCUUUAAACUGAUGCGGUAGAAUGAACCUUGGACCAUCUGAGGGAACAGUGUUGUAUAGGCAGGGAACAGCAAGUGUAGUGAUCCCACGUGGGUAAGAAUUACGCAUGUUGAGGAACAUCCCCCGCACCAUCCCCUGGCAGUGGGGAGAUGAGGCCAGAAGAGUGGGGGGAGGACGGGAGGCAGACCAGCGGCAGUGGUCUGGAGACAUAGCACCACCGUCCUGGCUGGAGGGCCCAGAAGACAGUGACAGUGACUGUUCUGAUGUCUCUUUCUUCCAGUCUUCUCUUCCCAAUUGGUUUUGGAUCUGACUUUGCCACCCACUUUCAGACCUGCGGUGUUUCAGCUCUCCUGUGCUGUAUCACUCUGGGCACCAGCUUGGGUCUUGCUCUUGCAUAUUUAUUUGGAACCAAGUAAGGUCAGCACCACCUGUGACUCCAGGCCAGCGUGAGCUGCCGGGCGCCCUGCCACCCAUGCUCUCCCUGGAAGGUUACUCUUCCCGCUGGUUUAUUUCUAGGGCCUGGGGCCUAGGGUGGGGUGUGGACCUGUGGACAGAUGUGCCAGGGGUACUCCUGAGAGCUUGGCGGCUGCAGUCGCUCAAGGGGUACGGCGGGGAAGGUAACACGGAGAGGCAGGUAGGAGCAGGCCUGUGUCGGGCAGGUGAAAGGCUGGGUUAGGGUGAUCUCACAGCCCUUGGCUGGGCAGCAGCUCUCGAAAUACAAACAUCCCUUUGGGUUUUCAAGGCAGAUGCUCUUGGUCCAGCGUGGGCAGGCAGGUGCCUCAGGGAUUCAUUUCCUCAUUUUAAAUGGGCUGAUUUAUCUUCUUCUUUUUUUUUUUUUUUUUAAUUUUAUUUUACUAGUGGGGAAAUUGAGGCACUGAGAUGUUAAGCGGCUUGCCCAGGACCUCUUGCCUGAUAUGCAUGUUCCUGGUUAUGCAUGCUUGAAUGCAUGUUCCUGGCUGGACCACAUCCCGAGCUGCCUUGGAUGAACCGGGGGCCCCGUGCAUGCUGGUCAGUGUGUUCUGAAAGAGGCCUCCCUUGCAUGGCCCCUCAGCCAGUGGCCGGCUGGCCAUCAUCUCAGAGGGGACUUUUACAGAGCCAGUCCUUGCUGGGGGUGGUCAAGGAAGCCCCAGAUGGUGGAGACAGAGCUGGGAAAGCUUGUUCAUCUCUGAGUGCCAGCACCUGGGUCUAGCAAGGCUGUUGGAGAGGUCAGUACCAGGGAGAGACCCCACAGCCGACCUUACAGGAGGAAAACAGAUCACUUGGGUGUGGCAGGGUCUUGGCCCCCAGGGAGCUGGGAGAGAGGGCGUGGAUGGGCAUGGAG
ensembl:lncRNA